GAUGAACGCUAGCGACAGGCUUAACACAUGCAAGUCGAGGGGCAGCAAUUUGUAGCAAUACAAAGUUGGCGACCGGCGCACGGGUGAGUAACGCGUAUGCAACCUACCUACAACAGAAGAAUAAUCCGGCGAAAGUCGGUCUAAUACUUCAUAAAACAGGGGCGCCGCAUGGUGUUAUUUGUUAAAGAUUUAUCGGUUGUAGAUGGGCAUGCGUACCAUUAGGUAGUUGGUGAGGUAACGGCCCACCAAGCCUACGAUGGUUAGGGGUUCUGAGAGGAAAGUCCCCCACACUGGUACUGAGACACGGACCAGACUCCUACGGGAGGCAGCAGUGAGGAAUAUUGGUCAAUGGGCGAGAGCCUGAACCAGCCAAGUCGCGUGAAGGAUGACGGCCCUAUGGGUUGUAAACUUCUUUUGCAGGGGAAUAAAGAUAUCCACGUGUGGGUAGUUGUAUGUACCCUGCGAAUAGCCGGUAACCA
rnacentral:rRNA from 2 species